rnacentral:rRNA from 1 species
AUGGCGUUCGCCGACGAGUACCAGGGCGUGGAGGCCCACGGCAACACCAAGUUGCACCGCCACAAGAUCGUCGGCAUUGAUCUCGAGUACAACAACGAGUCCGAAGCGACGCAGAAACCCGCCCUCUGCCAACUCUCCAUUGGCAAGAAACACCUGGUGCUGCUCUUCCAACUGAGCGCCGCUGAAAGGUGCACCGUCUUCGACAACUUCCUCGCCGACCCCAGGUACACCUUCGCAGGCUUCUCCAUCGACGGCGACAAAAAAAGGCUAGAGCGCGUCAAUCUGGAGGUCGCCAACUUCGUCGACAUCCAGAAGGAGUGGAGGGUGCCCGAGGCAACCAAGGAGUUGGACUCCCUUGGAGACGUCUCCGGCAUGCUCAUCGACAACUACUACAACAACAUGAAGAAGAAGAUCACCGACGACGAGCACAAGCGUUGGGCCACCCUGCCUCUGUCCAUGAGGCACAUCGAGUACGCGGCAAAGGACGCCUACGCAGCGUACGAGAUAUGGAACCGCAUCACCCUCACCCAGGACGGGCUUCGCCGUGAAAAGCUGGAGAAGGAGGAGCCCCCCAAGAAGCGCGCCAGGAGCAGCUGGGGAUGGGGAGACGCUGACUGGUGA